rnacentral:lncRNA from 1 species
GAUGGCCACAAGAGGGACCUCUGGUCGUCCUCACUGCUACACUCCCACCAGCGCCAUGACAGUUUAUAAAUGCCCUGGCAAUGUCAGGAAGUUAGCCUAUGUGGUGGUCUAAAAACAGAAGGCAUGAAUAAUCCACCCCUUGUUUAGCACAUAAUCAAGAAAUAACCGUAAGAAUGUGCAACCAGCAGCCCUUGGGGCUGCUCUGUCUAUGGAGUGGCCAUUCUUUUAUUCCUUUGCUUUCCUAAUAAACUUGCUUUCACUUUACAGACUUGCCCUGAAUUCUUUCUUGCGCGAGAUCUAAGAACCCUCUCUUGGGGUCUGGAUGAGGACCACCUUCCUGUAACAUCUUUCUGGCAACCACAGAAGGGACACAAAGGCUACCUUUGGCUUGGCCCCCAGGGCUAGGGUCCAGCCGCCGGGUCACUAGGACCACUCAAAGAAAGGGAACACAAAAGCCUCACGUGCCAGCAAAAGGGGUCUCUCUGUGUCACCCAGGCUGGAGGUCAAUGACGCCAUCACCUCUCAUUGCCGCCUCAACCUCCUGAGCUCAAAGGAUACUCUCGCCUCAGCUCCUCAAGUAGCUGUAACCACAGGUGCACAACAUAGGGGGUGGAGCCAAGAUGGCCGAAUAGGAACAGCUCCAGGCUACAGCUCCCAGCGUGAGCAACGCAGAAGAUGACUAAUUUCUCCAUUUCCAACUGAGAUGUGAGUAAUAUUGAUGAACGAAGAAAACACAGUAAGACAUCAUGGAAACAUGUUGAUUUAAGUCCUAAUCAUGGAGUUAAGAAACAGUGGCUUUUGAGUAAUGAUGAUAUCAGAACAAGAGUAAGUUAAAAGUACCAGAAAGAAAGUAAUUGAAUUUGUCGUAACUAACUUCUGUCAAUAACUGUCUCUAAAACUUGGCCCUAAUUUACAUAAAUUGUAUUAAAAAUGUUCAAAUACUUGGUUAUAAUCAACUCCAAAACUGCAAAAUACUGCUUUUCUCCUAGUGAUUUAUUAUCUAGGCUUCUAGUCUUUGGAGUGAGUUCAAGGGGUGUGGAGAGGGCUUCUAAAUUGUCAGUGCUUUCAACAGCAUAUGUUGUCUGUGGAAUCCUGAGACCCUUGAUGAUGUAGAAAUUUGUAUUAGAAAUGGGAUCAUACAAAACACCAAACCAAAUCAAAACAAAAGACAGAAUGAAAAAGGAAUCCUACCUUUAGUUAUAAGAAAAAUAUGUCACACUUUCAGAGCACUAAAGUGUAGUCAGUCUGAAUUGCUUCACUCCUGAAUAUAAUAUAUAUAAAUUUUUAUGGUCCUAUUUGAUGUAAGUGAUGUAAUUCUAUAACCUAUUAUUGAUAGUGUUUUUCCUUAUCUGGAUUUUAUAUAGCCAAAGCUAAAAAUGUUCUUGUGAGUUUGAGUUGGUUAAACAAAUAAAUUUGACAUUGAACCAUAUUUCUU